GGCGAGACAAGGCGGCGAGAGACUUGUGCUCCUGCUGUUCGAAGUGGAGAGCGCCGCCGCGAGGACCCGGGCGUACGGCGACGGUGAGUGAGGUAGUGGGGGUCGUCGGAUUCGAUAGUGGGGGAACGGGAACUGAGCUUACAUGGGCCACAGAACCUAGUAGAACGUCCCAUUUUGUUUACGAACUUCCCGUCAUCUUUUUAGAAAAUUGCGUACAUUAUAAGAUUGGUGCUUGCAGGUGAAUCAAAUACAGCUUCCUCUCCCUCUUCUCUAUUCCUCUCCUCAAGCACGAACACUAGCUGACGAUGCCGUCGCUGCUGUAGCACCGUUGCUAUUGCUGUGCAGUCGUCAACUGAGGCUAAGGUUAAGGUUCAAGGACUCCAUCUCCCGCUUAUGGAAG
rnacentral:lncRNA from 1 species